rnacentral:rRNA from 1 species
UACGUAGGGUGCAAGCGUUAAUCGGAAUUACUGGGCGUAAAGCGUGCGCAGGCGGUUUUGUAAGUCUGACGUGAAAUCCCCGGGCUUAACCUGGGAAUUGCGUUUGGAGACUGCAAGGCUGGAGUCUGGCAGAGGGGGGUAGAAUUCCACGUGUAGCAGUGAAAUGCGUAGAGAUGUGGAGGAACACCGAUGGCGAAGGCAGCCCCCUGGGUCAAAACUGACGCUCAUGCACGAAAGCGUGGGGAGCAAACAGG